rnacentral:tRNA from 1 species
GGCUGGUUAGCUCAGUCAGUUGAGCACGGCGCUAACAAUGCUGAGGUCAUGGGUUCGAUUCCUGUUCGGUCC